rnacentral:tRNA from 1 species
AGCCCUUAUAGCUCAGUGGUAGAGCAUUUUCUUGGUAAGAAAAAGGUCACGAGUUCAAUUCUCCUUAAGGGCUA